GCACCUGAUCUUUCCCAUUCCUUGCUGCCUAGUGCAGGCCUGGGGACACAUGGUGCUUACAGAAAAGCAGAGUAAAUCCAGACAGGUGUGUUUACUUCUCUGAAUACUUGUCCCUACAACUCUGCAACAGUU
rnacentral:snoRNA from 1 species